AUUGAACGCUGGCGGCAGGCUUAACACAUGCAAGUCGAGCGGAGAUGAGGUGCUUGCACCUUAUCUUAGCGGCGGACGGGUGAGUAAUGCUUAGGAAUCUGCCUAUUAGUGGGGGACAACAUUCCGAAAGGAAUGCUAAUACCGCAUACGUCCUACGGGAGAAAGCAGGGGAUCUUCGGACCUUGCGCUAAUAGCUGAGCCUAAGUCGGAUUAGCUAGUUGGUGGGUUAAAGGCCUACCAAGGCGACGAUCUGUAGCGGGUCUGAGAGGAUGAUCCGCCACACUGGGACUGAGACACGGCCCAGACUCCUACGGGAGGCAGCAGUGGGGAAUAUUGGACAAUGGGGGGAACCCUGAUCCAGCCAUGCCGCGUGUGUGAAGAAGGCCUUAUGGUUGUAAAGCACUUUAAGCGAGGAGGAGGCUACUGAGACUAAUACUCUUGGAUAGUGGACGUUACUCGCAGAAUAAGCACCGGCUAACUCCGUGCCAGCCGCCGCGGUAA
rnacentral:rRNA from 1 species